UGCUUAGCGUGUGCGACGACUUCGCCGCUAGGAGGCUGUGACAGAGAGAGGGCAGUAGGCUGAUGAUGUGACGCCCCAGCUUCCCAGGGGGUCACCCAUCCUAGGACUACUCCCAUCCCAGCACGCUUAACUCUCUUAACCUCUUGGGACUUGCCACCACCCAAAAUGCUUAAGCCGGGUUAAGAGUUUAGCCCUCUUAUAUCUCAUAUAUAGGACUAUCUGAGGUCUCACAAUCUCCCCUCCUUUAAGCCUUGACGUCCUCGUCAGGCUCAGACUCACAAGUACCAGGCGAUGUGAGACUCGUCUGGCUAGCCCGUCAUCCAGACCCUGGCUCAGCAGAGACUCAUCUCACACUUCCGGCUGGUAAUUGGCUCUGAUACCAUCUGUGACGCCCCAGCUUCCCAAGGGGUCACCCAUCCUAGGACUACUCCC
rnacentral:lncRNA from 1 species